UACGUAGGGGGCUAGCGUUGUCCGGAUUUAUUGGGCGUAAAGAGCGUGUAGGCGGCCAGGUAGGUCCGGUGUGAAAACUCGAGGCUUAACCUCGAGAUGUCAUCGGAAACCAUCUGGCUAGAGUCCGGAAGAGGAAAGUGGAAUUCCUGGUGUAGCGGUGAAAUGCGCAGAUAUCAGGAAGAACACCCGUGGCGAAAGCGGCUCUCUGGGACGGUACUGACGCUGAGACGCGAAAGCGUGGGGAGCAAAUGGG
rnacentral:rRNA from 1 species